rnacentral:rRNA from 1 species
UACGUAAGGUCCGAGCGUUGUCCGGAAUCAUUGGGCUUAAAGGGUACGUAGGCGGAUAAGCAAGUUAGAAGUGAAAUCCUAUAGCUAAACUAUAGUAAGCAUUUAAAACUGCUCAUCUUGAGGUAUGGAAGGGAAAGUGGAAUUUCUAGUGUAGCGGUGAAAUGCGCAGAUAUUAGGCGGAACACCGAUGGCGAAGGCAGCUUUCUGGACCGUAACUGACACUGAGGCACGAAAGCGUGGGUAGCAAACAGG